GAAUGUAAGUAUAAAAAUGAAAAUUUAAAAAGUUGGAAAAAAACCGAGUUGCUAAAGUAAGAAAUUGUUUGAAAAGGAAAAAGAAAAUUAAAAUGGAAAGAUUAAGGAAUCAUGAGAAAAAGCCAGGAAUUCUUUAUAGUAUUUUCCCCUCGUGCUGGAGUUCUGCAGUUCUGUGAGCUCUGUAAACUUGGUCUUACUUGGAUGUUCUUGCUGAUUUUCUGAGGGAAGGGCCUGUUGCGCUGAUUCUCAGUGGUUGUUUCCCUGGCUGUAUUGCACUGCCCUUGCCAGGGGGGCCUGGCUGAAUCAUCUGCUCAGGAUUGCUCUAUGUGGCUUUUGUUCCCUGAAGGCUUUCCGCACCACUUUAGAGGAUGAGAAUGGAAAUGUCAGCCUCCCAGUGUCCAGCCCUGGAGCUGGAUGCUGGCACCCUCUACUCUUCAGUGUGCCCUCACGGAGAAGCUGUCAAACACUUUUGUCUCCCUGGUUUCUGUCUGCACUCUGUGUACACCCAGCCUGUGACCGAGCAUUUUUAUCUCAGCCCCGCCACCCCCUUUGGAGUUUCCAAACUUUGUUGCCUCCUGUGGCAUGCAUUCACACCGCUCCUCCAGGGGGUGGGAGGGAGGUCUUGCCCUGGUUCUGCCGCUUGUUGGGCCACCACUCUGAGAGCAGUCGCCCAACCCUCGGCAGUUCGUGGUUUAUGGCAACACCCAGCUGAAAGCCCCCUCCUCCGCUCACUGGUUGCAGCCGGCUUCCCUGCUCAGAUGCCUGGGAACUCUCCCACACUCAGACAGCCGUGUUCUUUCUGUGAUUCUGGGGAUCCUGAGCCCAGGCUGUCCCACCUAGGAUUCCACCCUGCUUCUCCACCUGAGUGCCUUUCACGCAGGGAUGUCCCUCACCGGAGCAGACUUCUAAAAGUUCCGAUUUGCACGCGACUGCUGUAUCACUUUCUGAAAGCUGGCUUAUGGAUGCUCCCUCCCCUUACGGUUUAUCUUCCCAUAUAUCCCCUCGGAUUCGCAUCUCCGCACCCCCUACCUUGCAGAAAGCGGUGGCUUUUCUAUCUGUAGAAUUGCAACAGUUCUUUUCUUAGAUCUCAGGUUGAGUUCUAGGUGAAUUCCACGGAGUGGACGAAACUAUGGUCCCCUCCUCCUCCACCAUCUUCCUCCUUUUCCAGAAUUCUGUAUAUUCUAUAGACCAAUAUUAAAGGUACUUUUUAUCAGAUUCAUCUAAAUAGCAUUCCAUAUGUUUCUUCUCAGUUACCUAAGCUUAAAAUAAGUAGGGAUUUAUUUUAUUUUAUUUACGUGAUUAUCUAUUUAAGCAAUCCCUAAUUUAGUUGUAUUCUCUCCAAGUUUUGUUUGAAGACCACAUGUCAUAAGGUAUAUAUAAUUCCUAAAAUAAUAUCUUUUGUUUAACAUGACAUUAUAAAAAAUAUUUGAUUUAUUUCAGGUGGAGCAGGAGUUCGAAAAAAAUAUAUCUAGAGCACUAGAAGCAGGUGCUGCUGAAUUUCAAUCAGACUCAUCCUAUCAUACCUCCUCUUCAGAGGGCUUUUUACAGAACUUGAGGAGCCGUUAUAGGAUCUGAAAGAUAAAGAGUAAAAAUGUACUUACUGGAUGUUUAUAUAACAUUAUACUUGUUUCCUAUUAAACGUAUGCUGUGCAAAAAUCUUUAUUAAAAGAAGAUGUUUUUGAA